UACAGAGGGUGCGAGCGUUAAUCGGAAUUACUGGGCGUAAAGGGUGCGUAGGUGGUUUGAUAAGUUAGGUGUGAAAGUCCUGGGCUUAACCUGGGGAUUGCGCCUGAUACUGUUGAGCUAGAGUACUGUAGAGGAAAGUGGAAUUUCCGGUGUAGCGGUGAAAUGCGUAGAUAUCGGAAGGAACAUCAGUGGCGAAGGCGGCUUUCUGGACAGAUACUGACACUGAGGCACGAAAGCGUGGGGAGCAAACAGG
rnacentral:rRNA from 1 species